UAUAAAAUGCUUUGUAGGACACAGUUCUGUAGCUGUAUGACAAACAGUAAUGAAUAUUAAAGCAUAAAUAUUAAAUAUUUCCUCAGUGGUCCAUGCGAUUACACUCUAUCAUGUCUGAUGGGCUAAAUUUGGUUAAUAUCUGAAAGUAACUUUGUAUAUUGUUUAUGAAAUUGUAAUUUUCUUCUCUACAUUGCAAAGGAUAGACUUUUUCUUCUCCUCUAUUUCAGGAAACUGUGCUGCUCCCUGUUAUUUUAAAGUGAAGAAACUGAGAACCAUUUAUUUCUACCGGCCAGUGUAAGAUCACCAUGUUGGGUUGGAGUUACACAGUCUCAGAAAAACAUUUCAGAAGGGAACAAUAUAUACAGUUAAUGGUAAAUAUUUAUUGGUACUAAUAUGCACCUUUCAGGGGUAAAAAAGGUACAAAAUUGUCCCGUUUGAAAGGUUACCGACCCAGUGACAGCUUGUGUAUCACUUUUUUGUUUAUUGUGUAUUGCUGUACACCCAAAGUGCUUUUCAAUCAUAUGAGGGAAUCUCUUCUUAACCACCACCAGAGAGCAGCAUCCACCUGAUAAUACAACAGCUGUGUUCUUGUCUUUUUCUUGAGCUGUUCCUUUAAGAUCAUCUGAUUUUAGUAUCACAGUGAGGCCAUGCUAAUAAGCCCACAACAAGGACAUGAGUCAUCCAGGAAUGUUGGAUGGCCAGACACUGAAGACAACGAUCGUGUCCGACUUCAGAAGACAGGUAACAACCACAACCAAGAGGACACGGAUGGAACUGCAUCUUGAAAAAAUGCGAGCCAUUCCUAAUUUCUCUUUUAGUAAAUCUGCUCUUUUAGUUGAAGUGCCCAGAGGAAUCGCUGCAGACAGGAACACUGCUGUUUUGCACCAUCAUGCCAACCAGAAUUUGAAAGGCUUUGUGUAGAUCGACACAUUCAUCCAUUGGGCUUCAAAGCAAAAAUCUGGAGAUUAGAUGCACCUGUUGCCUAUUUAUACCUGUAUGCACAGGGAGUGGCUCAGGUAUGCAAAAUUCACUAGACUAAUUUCAUUGGCGUUUUUUCUUAAAGUCAGAGAUGAUUGAGGCUCCCAAGUGAAUCCUCAUAUGUCAUCACAACAUAACUCCUAGUGAAUGACAGAUAAGGAACUGGAUCUGAUUGUACCCAGAUAAUGAAAUUCCCAGUAGAGUCCAAAACGAACAUGAUUUGCAUGAUUUCAGAUAAACUGUAUAUCGGUGUUCAGCGGCUCAUAAGCCAACGGUUUCAUAUGUUGACGGAUCACACUCUCUCAACUCUUGGACUCUGUACUUUAUCUAAAGAAGGUAACAAGAAAAUUAUUUGGGAUUUAAGAUUUAUUUCCAGAGUCUCUAGAAAACAAGAUAUAACAUGUGUCUCUAUCAGGCCGCUGUCUCUGGGAAUUAUGUCUGGACAAAAGCAGAAUUUGCUGUGGCUGAUGAUCAUCUGUUGUGCUACGUGCCAGAUAACAAUUUCAGAAAACUCGACAGAUGAGUGUUUCUGGAACAGCAGUAGCUCAACAGUUCCAGUUAUUACAUGGACCUGUCAAUCAGGUAAUGGGUACAUUGAAAAUACGGAAGUUGUUGAACCCUUAGAAGCAUCAGGCGCAAUUGACAAACUGGAGUCUGAAAUGGAAGAAAUGGAAAAUAACAAUAUAAGCAAAGCAGAGAUUGUCAUUGGGAAUGCUAACGGUCUUCUCCAAAUACAAGCUGAGAACACAACAACUGAAGACAUGUGCUACUCAUCAAAUCAGAACAUGAUAAACGUAAGGCCUGAGAAACAUUGCAGCAUGUCUAAGUUAGUAUUCUUUAUUAAUCAAUGUAAAUUUUC